UCUUGUGAUGAGACCUCUACAUAGGAAGUGCCGUCAGAUGCGAUAACUGAUGAGUGUAGCUCUCUGAAG
ensembl:snoRNA